GUUUGAAGUUUCAUGUUGCAGGGCAUGCUUUGGAACGACUAAAUACUGUCAUGCAUGGCUGAGAAAUGUGGUAUGAUCUAUGAAUCAUUUCUAAAUCAAGAUCUGCAUACUGGUUAUUGGAUCUUUCCAUAUUACAUAUAUAGUCAAAUAUGUACCUGUGGCAUAUUGGUGUCACACAGUGUCUCAUAACAAAAUAUUUAUUUUUUUGUCCAGCCGUGCAGCAACCCUGAUUGCCUAUAUUUGCAUGAGAUUGGUUCACAAGAGGAUAGUUUUACCAAGGACGAAAUAAUAUCCGCUUACACAAGGUAUUUUUAUAUCAGUAUGCAGCCUAUUAUAUAUUUUCCUUUUUCAUUUUAUUCUUUUUAUAUCUGUGAUGAAAGUAGUAAAUGCUUCAUGUUGCCCUUUGGACUCAACCUAGUAAAUACUUAAUGUUGCGCUUUAGACUCAACCUUUAAGUCUUUUAUUCAGCAUCUGCUUGUUGCUUGACAAUCAAACAUCGUGCAGUUAUCGAUUUAGUUGAUUUAUUUAUGGAAGAUUCCGCUUCCUAUGAAGCCAAUUAUGGCGUUUUUUAGUUAAAAAGAGCUGUUCCAGUGCUUCGAGAAGUUUCUUUGUUGUCUUAAAUGGGUGACUUUUCUUGGAGCUUAUCUUCAAGUUGGAAACUUGAUUUCUCUGUGCGGAUGAAAAUUAUGGUUUUGCCUUCUCUAUUUGGAGUUUCUUAAUAUUGUUGGGGUGUGUUGUUUUGUUAAUCUAAGGUGGAUGUUUGACAAAGCUUUUAAGUGCUUAUAAACUAGAUAAACAUAAUUUUAACCACACAUUCCUUAGGAUCCACAACUUUUAUUUAGUUUUAAACCAUACGUUCUUUGGGACCACUGCUUAUAAGCACUUGAAAGCUUAGCCAAGCAAGCAUUUAAUCUGGAGUUUUUAAUUCUUUUUUUUUCUUGUAGCAGGGGGAGGGAGGGGGUGUUUAUGUUAUUUUUAUAUGAACAAGUAUAUGAAAGAGAUGCAUUCUGUCAUAUUAGUUUUGUGGUUUCUUUUUCUCCUAGUCAAUUUUUUUUUUUUGAUUGUUGAAACUUGUGAUUGCAGUGGUUUCCUCUAUAUCUACAAUUGUAGAAUAAUUAUCAUGUUCAGCUUUUUGUUGGUUAUUGUGACAAUUCGGGAAGUAGAUUAACUUAGCUAACGAUUUUAAAGUAGAGUACAACAAAUUACUGGUGCUACAAAUAGUGUGCAACGGCAUUCAGGAAAUGUGUUACCAGCACCAGCAGAUGAUUACUGCAUUAGUAGCCAUUUUUCUUCCGGGAAGCCUUCAAGUAAAACUGCUACACAGACAAAUGUAAGUUUUUCUUUACCCCUAACCACAUUUUUUUUUUCACAAACUUUCACUAUGUGAAGAGUCUUUAAAAUACUGUGGAAAUAUAAUAGUAGUUGUUUGUCAGACAAACAUCUGUCACAAAACUAUUAUACGGUACUGCGCUGUGGAAUUUUAGCUUGUAUUACAUGUGGCAAUUGUGAUCUUGGCAGUGAUUACUGCUGAAAUAUCUGGAUUGCUUUUUUCUUGCUAACAAAAAUUUUCUCGCCGUGCAGAAUUCGGUGAACAGCAUUAGAGUUUCUCCACCAAAUAGCAGCUCUGGUAGAUCUGCUGCUCUACCUGCUGGAGCCUCAUGGUAUGUCAAUUACUGAUCUGUUGUCUCUUUCAAUUUGUAUGUCACUAUUUCUCAGCAUUCAAUUUGCCUUCACUAGGGGGAUUCGUUCUUCCAAUAAUCAACCCUUGUCCACAAGUAUACCAUGUUCCAAUGGACUACAUAAGCAUAAACCUAAUGCCUGUAAUGGACCGGUGACGUUUUCUACUGCAGUUGCUAGCUCUAGUCAGGUUUCUUCGUUGCAUAGUGACUCUGGAAAGAAGCUGGUUCCUAGUGAAGAAAGCAACACAAGUCUAGACAAAAGCAAACUGGAAGCCAUAGAACAUGUGAAAAAGGAUUCUAGCACAGAUAGCAGAACUAUUUUGAGUAGUUCCUCCUCGUCUGUACUUUCUGUUACUUCAACAAUAAACAGGCAACACGGUCAACCUACAUCCAAGGACAAAGAUGGAGAUGCCAGCAUGCUACCCUGUACCAACAACUCAGUUAAUCAAUACCUAAAGUCUUGUGGUCCUGAUUCAGACACAGAUUCCAAUGAUUCUGCAGAUGGAAAAAUUGAAAAUUUAUGCUCUGAAAUUUUUUCUAUGAGCAUUGAUAGACAUCAACAGUUGCAGAAUGGCUAUGCUGAGCACAUUGGAGAACCAUUGAUAUCGCAGACCUCUGGAAUAUCUGCAUUACCAGUUGAUGAGGAUUAUGCCUCAAAUCGUCUCUCUCCGUUGAAAUUGGAAACACACAUGCAAGUCUCGCAAGUUGACUCGCUUCAGAUGGAAGAUAAUCUAUUAUCUUUUGAUAAACAAAGACUCAAGGAUCCAGAGUUUGCUUCUAGCAGAAACAGUAUACCAGAUUCUUCUCACUCUACUCAUCUUUCAAGACAUUCUAAUAUUCAUUCUCCAACACAAAAUAAUUCUGACGCUUCAGUCAGGGUCAAUGUUGAUAGGCAAAUUGUACAUACAAAAGACAAUUUGAUAGUAUCAGCUUCUAGUAAUUCUGUUAUGUCAAAUAAACAUCCUGACAAUGAAUUCAGUAGUUCUUCUGAUCCAGUGAAUGAUGUUGAACAUAUUUAUUUGUUUCCAAUUAAUAAGGAUAAAAAUUCAGUUCUGGGAAGAUUCAAAGGUGAAGCAGCCUGUCACAGUCAUCCUGCUGCUGUUGAUACGGGGGAAAGCAGCAUAAUAUCAGAUAUUUUGUCGAUGGACUCUUAUUCAUGGGAUGACUCGAUACGUUCACCUCAGAACCUGGCAAAAUUGUUUGGUGAAACUGAUGAACGACAAGGGCCUUUCGGAGUACCUAGUUCGCGGAAAAUCCAGAAUAGCAAUCAAUCGAGGUUUUCUUUUGCUAGAGAGGAGGAACGUAUGAACCGAGCAUCUGACUUUGGACUAGCUAUCAAUUAUGUUGAACAAUCUCUUAAGGACCGCCCAUUUGGCAAUGAUUUCACAAACAGCAACAGCUUUCAUCUUGAAAAGUUUGGUUCUCACAAUAGGCUAUCUUUAUUUAAUGGUGUGGAGUCAGAUAAUUUUGCCAGCAGUCAUUCUUACAUCUCUUCUAACAAGGUUCCUGGUGAGUUGCGAUUUAUACGAAUUUCAAUGAAGUUUAUUCAUAGUUUGUUGUUGACUUGGCGGGGUUGUAAGUUUCUUUUUAUUUCUCGGAUAUAUUAGUAACCUUGUCAUGGAAAUUGACACUUGCGAAGUAUACAUGUUCAAUUUAGUUCUUUCUUGAUCAAAAUAUUCUUGUGCCUCAUGAGAAACCUAGGGAUAUUUUCAAUUUGUGUUUUCCAUCUGAUGGAAUUUAUUCUUAUGUAGCUUUCUAUUUUUCUCUCUCAAAACAUUUUUUCUGGGUGCCUUUGAACAGUUUCAAGAUCUCAAGUUUCUGCCCCCCCGGGUUUCUCAGUGCCUAGUAGGGUACCACCUCCCGGUUUUAUUUCUCACGAGAAGACAGGGCGGAUAUUCGACCCACACUCUGGUCCGUUAAUUUAUGCUAGGCACUUAAUAUUUUCGGACUUUUACUUCAUGUUAAAAAUCUUGUGUUUGGUUUUGAAUUAUCAUUUUAUUCUGUCUUGUGCAGGAAAUUAUAUGCCCGAUGCUUCGCUUUUGCCAAGAAAUCAGUAUCAGGCAUCCCCAAGUGGUGAUUCUAUUAGUAAUGCCGAAAUUGAGUUUAUGGAUCCUGCAAUUUUGGCAGUUGGCAAAGGGAUACUUCCUGGUAGCCUAAACAGCUCAGGCUUGGGUGCAAGAUUAAGUUAUUCUCCGCAGUAUAGUACGCUUGAAGAAUUAAGAUUCCAGUCCUUGUUACAAAGAUCAGUUCCUACUCAUCAAAACCAGAGAUUUACAGACCCGGGUGACAGUUAUUCUCCCCUUGGCGAUGCUUAUGGAGUUCCUUCUAGGGUGCUAGAGCAAACCCUAACCAACAACCUGUCCCCAUUUUCCCAGUUCACUCUUCCUCAGCCUAGAAAUGCUGUAACAUCCAAUGGCCAAUGGGAUGGGUGGAAUACGGUGCAGGGUGAGAAUGCUUUAGGUAUGGCAGAACUACUCAGAAAUGAGAGAUUGGGACUUCCUAAGUACUACAAUGGUUAUGAAGAUUCAAAUACCCGCUUGCCAAAUUCUGGAAACCUAUAUAAUCGGGCUAAUGGGAUUUAAAUUUGGUUGGAGACUUAUAUGGCACUGUUGGUACUGAUAGUGUCAAUGGUAAAAUAGGAAAAAUCUUGUGCGAAUUAGAGAAUGCCUGCUUUAAGGACUUCAAUGUUUGGCAAUCGGAUGACCUGAUCACUUGCAUUGACUAAACGGACCUAGGCAUGGAAUGCCCGAAAUAUUUGUGUUCGAGGACAUUAGAGUGAUUCACGAGUAGUCUGAUGGCACUGCUUUUAAGUUGGUGGAGGAUCAAGCCCUUUCAACAGGGAGUCCCAAACCAACAGGUAAAAUAUUGGCUCUCUUUAAUAUGGUUUAUGUUGUUGAUUCGUGAACGAGGCUGUUGUGCAUGUAUAUCACGGGAAAUAAUAAAUGGAGUAGAGUAUUAAAAAAGUAGAUUAGAGGCUUAAUGGUCACUCAUGUAUGUCAUUAGAAAGAUGAAUGUUACUAAUCUAGUUCAGAAAAGAAAGAACAGUGAGCUUGUUGUACCAUCAGACACUUCUUUCCGUAAAACAAACUUCUGUAUUAGACUCAGAUUUCUCACUAACUGUUUUUCCCCCCUUCGUCCUCUUCGUAUCUUUCGGCUCUUGGUAAGAUGAAAGAAUCGUUUUGAAGAAGAUACAAACUUUGCGAUCCUAAUCCUUUUUAUACUUGAAAAACACAAAGUAACUUCACCUUUCCCUCGUCCUAUUGUACAUCUCAAUUUCCAUGGAACUUACGGAAUAAUGGAGUUUUGAGAUGUUAAUCUGGACAUGAAUAGACUGCUACUGCUACUACUAUUAUUAUUUGCACACUGCUCAUUUUGUUCAUAGCCUUUCACCCUCAUAUUUUCAGGUAAAGGGUGCUUGAGAUUCAGGCCUAAUGUGAUGGUCAUGCAAGCAAUGUUGUGCACGAUGAAAUCAGCUUGUGAUCUUUUCUUUCGUAAUGCUAAAGCUUGUUAGUUUGUUUGAAGUUGUUCUACAGAGGUGAUCGAAAAUACUUUCUUUCACAGUGGUGAAAAUUGAUUUGUGUGUAGGCAAAAAUUCGAAAAUGGGAAGUUUAUAGUUUUGUUUUUGCUUAUUUACUUGAGAGUAUGAUCGAGAUCGUUUUCACAAAAUUCAAUGAAUUCACAUGCUGGUGAAAAAUCUGUAGCUGAAUCAACGUGGAAAUAGUGAAAUGGACGAGUACCAAAAAAUGGUUGGAGGAAAAUAUGUAAUUAUAAAAUGCCAUAAUAAAGCGUGUUUUUGAGAAUGCAG
rnacentral:lncRNA from 1 species